GGGCCCGCACAAGCGGUGGAGCAUGUGGUUUAAUUCGAUGCAACGCGAAGAACCUUACCAGGGCUUGACAUACUGCAGAUCUUUUUGAGAAAGAAGAGUGCCUUCGGGAAUGCAGAUACAGGUGGUGCAUGGCUGUCGUCAGCUCGUGUCGUGAGAUGUUGGGUUAAGUCCCGCAACGAGCGCAACCCUUAUUUUUAGUUACCAACUUGUUGGGUUCUCUAGAAAGACUGCCGGUGACAAACCGGAGGAAGGUGAGGAUGACGUCAAGUCAGCAUGCCCCUUAUGUCCUGGGCUACACACGUGCUACAAUGGUUAAGACAAAGAGUCGCGAGUUCGUGAGAACCAGCUAAUCUCGUAAACUUAGCCUAAGUUCAGAUUGUAGGCUGCAACUCGCCUACAUGAAGUUGGAAUCGCUAGUAAUCG
rnacentral:rRNA from 1 species